UACGUAGGGUGCGAGCGUUAAUCGGAAUUACUGGGCGUAAAGCGUGCGCAGGCGGCGCGUUAAGACAGGUGUGAAAGCCCCGAGCUUAACUUGGGAAUUGCGCUUGUGACUGGCGUGCUGGAGUGUGGCAGAGGGAGGUGGAAUUCCACGUGUAGCAGUGAAAUGCGUAGAGAUGUGGAGGAACACCAGAGGCGAAGGCGGCCUACUGGGCUGCACCUGACGUUGAGCCGCGAAAGCCAGGGGAGCGAACGGG
rnacentral:rRNA from 1 species